AUACGGAGGUUCCAAGCGUUGUUCGGGAAUUACUGGGCGUAAAGGGAGCGCAGGCGGACAGGUCAGUUUAAAGUGGAAUCCCAGGGCUCAACCCUGGACGUGCUUUGGAUACUGCCUGUCUUGAGUUCGUGAGAGGAAAGUGGAAUUCAGGGUGUAGCGGUGAAAUGCUUAGAUAUCCUGAGGAACACCAGUGGCGAAAGCGACUUUCUGGCACGAAACUGACGCUGAGGCUCGAAAGCAUGGGUAGC
rnacentral:rRNA from 1 species